rnacentral:lncRNA from 1 species
CCCCUCCCACCCUUGUAUUUUAAAGCAACUGACAAUUUUGAAGGACACCAAGACAGUAGGGCUUAGCUAAACAAUAUGGCAAUUAAAAUUGGCCCUCUUAAGAAAAUAAUCACAAUGGUUAUUGAAAAGAAUUGUCCUUUGAGCAAAACAGACGGCAUGAAAAGAAUCAUCAUGAAAGGAGCAUUAUAGCUUGCCUUCCAACAAAAGGAAGAAGGGGAUGUAUGUGAAAACAAUGGUACAGAAAGCUGGGGAGUCAGACUGAAAACAACAGAAAACCCUAGGCAAUAGAUUGCGCCAAUGAAAUGCAUCCCCUUGAAGAUAGCCAUUCAAACUCUUGUUUCAUAUUAGAAUAACUACCCCACCCCCAGCACCUGGAAGUGAAUCAUUGCAUAACCUUUUGUAAAAACUAGUUUAAUCAUUUUUCCAAGCUAAAAUCUCUCAAAAAGAGGGGAAUUUGUGAUGGAUCUCCUAGACAUCACAUAUUAGAGAUGAACCAAGCCAAUUGAUGGUCAAUGCCAUUUUAGAUU